GUAGUCAGAUGCGUACGUGAGAACCCAGAAUUAACGGAAUAAUCAUGUCAUCAAGGCAUGGUACAUAACAGAACGCUGGUUCUCAGACACAUUGUCAUUCUUUCAGGCCAUAUAGUCCACGACUCAACGAUGAUAGAUGGACCAAACGACUAUUAGGAUGCAGACACCGUGAAGAUAGAGGAAGUCAGGGCAGACCACCGAACGAUGAGCAGACGAUAUACGGAAAAUAUAACACAACUGGAUGCCACUUGCGCAACAUAUAAAUUUUUGACGGCGUAUGGAGGAGGCUUAUGUCCAGCAGUGAACACCAGAAGAAGCUGGAUGAUGAGUUGAUGAUGAUAAGAGCAACUAACCCAAACAGAAGACCUUCUAUAAUCUUUCGGCGGUCAAAUCAUAUUCCUUUAGUUACAGUACACUAUUGUCGAAUUCAGGAGAGAAAGACGUUGAUACAGAUACUAAGUAGUUCAUUUGGAGAGUGAUUAUAUUUUUGUAUCCGCGAAAACGAUAGUUUUUGUUCUACUAUAUUACAAAAUUAUAAAGCUUGACAUUUUACCUGCUCCAAGAUAAAUUAUGAGUUCCUAUAAGUAGCUCAAAAAACUUCCCUCUAGAAGCAAAUGAAGCAGUCAUUAUUAAUUUGUGUAGAAUCUUGAUAUUUAGUAGCAGUUGGUAUUUUUUGUUCUUAGCACUAAACCGCCAAUUAUUCAAUUUAAUAAAAAAAAAUAAAACUCGAUUUGCAUAAGAUUCGCCCUCCAGAGCGCUUGCCGAUGGUUUAAAACAUGAACAGUUGUAUUCCUGCAUAUUACUUUUAAUUUGCAAAUCAUUACAGGAUAAUCAACUUUUAAGCUAACGGGCAGACGUUGUAAGACAACAAAGAUCCCGGCAAAUUUAUACAGACAAUGAUAAAUUAGCUGUAUAGUGAAAGAAUAAAUUAUUAAUCUGAUGAAUGGGUCAUUACUAUGCGGUGUUGUCUCAAGCACAAGCCACUACUGUAAUGAAACAUGUCAUCAAGCGUUGACGGUAAAAAAUUGUUAUGUUUACGGAUUGUUAAACCACUGUUAUGGUGAGUCUUUAUGAAUGUUUUUGUAAGUGGGAUUGACCAGAUUAAGAGAUAUGAGUCUAUUUGGCAUUCAAACAGAUUACAAUGCAUUAACAUAUAAAAUUUUAAAUAAACUAAUUCAUUAUUACUGCUAAAAAUUAUUCUUACGUGUACACAUAUUGGCUAGCGGAAUCAACACAAUGCAAUAAAAAUAAACGAUGACUGUUUGAA
rnacentral:lncRNA from 1 species